rnacentral:rRNA from 1 species
GAACGAGAAAGUCCCGCAAGGGAUGAGUAAAGUGGCGCACGGGUGAGUAACACGUAGCUAACCUGCCCUCGAGUGGGGGAUAACCUGGGGAAACUCGGGCUAACACCGCAUAAUGUCCCGGUGGCACCGGCUGCCGGGGUCAAAGGCCCGCAAGGGUCGCUCGGGGAGGGGGCUGCGGCCGAUUAGCUAGUUGGUGAGGUAACGGCCCACCAAGGCGAUGAUCGGUAGCCGGCCUGAGAGGGCGCACGGCCACACUGGCACUGAAACACGGGCCAGACUCCUACGGGAGGCAGCAGUGGGGAAUUUUGCACAAUGCCCGAAAGGGUGAUGCAGCAACGCCGCGUGAGGGAUGAAGGCCUUCGGGUCGUAAACCUCUUUCGACCGGGAAAAACGGGCUGGUGAAUAGCCAGUUCUGAUGGUACCGGUGGAAGAAGCCCCGGCCAACUACGUG